GCCAUCAGUAGGGGUGUUGUCAUGGCAACCCCCACCCCUUCCUCUGAACGUCAGAGUUGGGAGCUGGAGGAUGAAGCCGCAUGCAGCUUCUGUCUCUCGCGCUUCUCAGAGAGCACCUGUGAUUUCUGCCGCCUCGCGUGCAAACGGUGGGAGCUGCAGCGCCGGGACUAAUCUCAUGAUUGUUUUGACUCGUUCCAGCUGCUUUUCAUCGCAUACCAUCACCAUCAAACGCCAAGAGACAGACUGACAGAUCGUUAUGUCGUGGUUGUUCUUGGACUGGUUCGUGCCCCUUUAUCUGCUGGUGUCCGUUUUGGUGCUGGCAGGCUUCGGAGCGUGCCUGUACUUCCUCGAGCCCGGGUUGCAAGAUGCCCACAAAUGGAGUAACAAAACAAUCCGGCAUCACCCGCUGGUGGCCAGCGUGAACUGCAGAGAUGACGAUAGCAAUGCCCUGAUAUGAUCAAGGGGGUGAGACGGGUAUGAGCGAGCUGGCCAUGUGGACAGGGGCACAGGCGCAACACAACAGGGGAUGGGGGGCCAACACCUGGGUGACUAAAAAUGAGUAAAAAGAUAGAGAUGAUCUGAUAAUAAUAAUCAUUUAAAACGUUCUGUAUCAUUCCAGCUUUUCUCUGCUCUCUGUGGAUUUUCACUGCAGAUAUCAGAGAAAAAUGAAGUAGAAUUUUAUAUCAAAGAAUUCUUAAAUCGAUGCCAAACACACAUGGCAGAAAGAAAGUGUGAAGUUUUUUUUUUUUUUUUUGGAGGACACCUUGCCCUUUAGUGUUUGUAAAUUUCAUGUCAUCUUGUCUUUGUGCCAACUUUUAAAUACCAUUUUUGUAAUUUGACAAUCACUUUACACGUCUCAUUUACUUAUAUUGUGUAAUUUAAAUAAAGUGACGUGAAUGACAUAAGUGCAAUGACUUUGCUGCCAGUGGGGAGGAUUUUUCAAUCCUCUACUCGAUGUCAGCAUGGCAGCUGCUGACACACACGGAGAUUGUUGGUGCUGCUUUGUCAAAAUGGUGUAACACCUUGAAAUAAUGUUCUUGGAAUAAAUUCAAGUGACGUGUGAGGUGUCAAGGUAAUCUUAGAUGGACCAAGACAGCAGACAAGUAGUAUGUGGUGGUGCUUUAAAUGUGCAUUGAUUAUUUUUACUUGACAGCAUGAUAAGGAAAUUGUGUAAAAACUCUCCUCUGCUGAUCACAUGCCUCUUUUGUUCAUACAAAAAUAAAAACUGUUUGAUCCAGUUGAA